UCGAGCGAACAGAUAAGGAGCUUGCUCCUUUGACGUUAGCGGCGGACGGGUGAGUAACACGUGGGUAACCUACCUAUAAGACUGGGAUAACUUCGGGAAACCGGAGCUAAUACCGGAUAACAUUUGGAACCGCAUGGUUCUAAAGUGAAAGAUGGUUUUGCUAUCACUUAUAGAUGGACCCGCGCCGUAUUAGCUAGUUGGUAAGGUAACGGCUUACCAAGGCGACGAUACGUAGCCGACCUGAGAGGGUGAUCGGCCACACUGGAACUGAGACACGGUCCAGACUCCUACGGGAGGCAGCAGUAGGGAAUCUUCCGCAAUGGGCGAAAGCCUGACGGAGCAACGCCGCGUGAGUGAUGAAGGGUUUCGGCUCGUAAAACUCUGUUAUUAGGGAAGAACAAACGUGUAAGUAACUGUGCACGUCUUGACGGUACCUAAUCAGAAAGCCACGGCUAACUACGUGCCAGCAGCCGCGGUAAUACGUAGGUGGCAAGCGUUAUCCGGAAUUAUUGGGCGUAAAGCGCGCGUAGGCGGUUUCUUAAGUCUGAUGUGAAAGCCCACGGCUCAACCGUGGAGGGUCAUUGGAAACUGGGAAACUUGAGUGCAGAAGAGGAAAGUGGAAUUCCAUGUGUAGCGGUGAAAUGCGCAGAGAUAUGGAGGAACACCAGUGGCGAAGGCGACUUUCUGGUCUGUAACUGACGCUGAUGUGCGAAAGCGUGGGGAUCAAACAGGAUUAGAUACCCUGGUAGUCCACGCCGUAAACGAUGAGUGCUAAGUGUUAGGGGGUUUCCGCCCCUUAGUGCUGCAGCUAACGCAUUAAGCACUCCGCCUGGGGAGUACGACCGCAAGGUUGAAACUCAAAGGAAUUGACGGGGACCCGCACAAGCGGUGGAGCAUGUGGUUUAAUUCGAAGCAACGCGAAGAACCUUACCAAAUCUUGACAUCCUUUGAAAACUCUAGAGAUAGAGCCUUCCCCUUCGGGGGACAAAGUGACAGGUGGUGCAUGGUUGUCGUCAGCUCGUGUCGUGAGAUGUUGGGUUAAGUCCCGCAACGAGCGCAACCCUUAAGCUUAGUUGCCAUCAUUAAGUUGGGCACUCUAGGUUGACUGCCGGUGACAAACCGGAGGAAGGUGGGGAUGACGUCAAAUCAUCAUGCCCCUUAUGAUUUGGGCUACACACGUGCUACAAUGGACAAUACAAAGGGCAGCUAAACCGCGAGGUCAUGCAAAUCCCAUAAAGUUGUUCUCAGUUCGGAUUGUAGUCUGCAACUCGACUACAUGAAGCUGGAAUCGCUAGUAAUCGUAGAUCAGCAUGCUACGGUGAAUACGUUCCCGGGUCUUGUACACACCGCCCGUCACACCACGAGAGUUUGUAACACCCGAAGCCGGUGGAGUAACCAUUU
rnacentral:rRNA from 2 species